CUCAUACCCCCCCCAGGGGGAGCUGGCUGCUGGGCUGGGGUGUCAAUAUAAGGAAGUGGAGGAAGAGAAGGAGAGACCACGACUUCCUGUUUCCAUCUGUUGAAUGACGGGAGCAGCUUUUCCUCAGCAGCCUAGGCCUUGUGGAUUUAGACGAGGAGUUUUACUUCUAAUAUCUUUGAAUGGACAACUAAUCACUUGAGCUGGUCGGCACUGGGCCUUGCUUGCGUUGGCCCCCUGAGAGUUCUGACUGAAUUUAUCCUGAAAAAUCUGACUCUGGAGAGUAAGAAGGAGCAGCGGGAGCUGCAGGAUGUGAUCCAUAAGAUUGUGGAGGCCACUGGGACAAUCGCAGGUUCUUCUCUGGAACAAACGAUGUGGUUGAAGAGGAACCUGGAGGUGAAACCAUCUCCUCAGAUUGUAGUGGAGGGAGAAGAGGUGGAGGAGUCUCACAGAGAGAGAGAGAGAGAGAGACCCACAAUUCACUCCACAGCAGCUCAUUCUGGAUACAGGUUCUCAUCCCCCUGAACUGCAGCUGAUUCCAGCUGUCUAAUCAGCUCAUUUUGUGUUUCAGGGACUGUCACAUGUGACUCCUGCAGGCCUUUUUAAAUAAGUUUUGUCUUGCUUCAGUUGCCUGUUUUUUUUUUAACCAUAAAUUGAAGAUUAUUUUUUUACGGUGCAUAAUCUACAACAUUCAUUCAGAAAGUCGUAAAAUGUAAAUGGUAAAUUAGGAAGUAUUGAAGAAAGGAAAUGGAAACUGGUGAUCCAAACCCUCCUGAACUCAGUUUCUUCCUCAUGCUGCGUUCCUUUGUACGUUUCUCUUGUAAACUAAUAAAUGGUCCAACAU